UCUUUUUCUUUUUCUUUUUCUUUUUCUUCUUCUUCCCAACGUGUUUGAAUUUAGUGAUAAAACAGAAGA
rnacentral:ribozyme from 1 species